rnacentral:rRNA from 1 species
GAAACCAACAGGGAUUGCCUCAGUAACGGCGAGUGAAGCGGCAACAGCUCAAAUUUGAAAUCUGGCGCCUUCGGCGUCCGAGUUGUAAUUUGUAGAGGAUGCUAUUAGGUUGCCACCGGUCUAAGUUCCUUGGAACAGGACGUCACAGAGGGUGAGAAUCCCGUAUGUGACCGGCCAGGCGCCUUCUGUAUAGCUCCUUCGACGAGUCGGGUUGUUUGGGAAUGCAGCCCUAAAUGGGAGGUAAAUUUCUUCUAAAGCUAAAUACCGGCCAGAGACCGAUAGCGCACAAGUAGAGUGAUCGAAAGAUGAAAAGCACUUUGGAAAGAGAGUUAAAAAGCACGUGAAAUUGUUGAAAGGGAAGCGCUUGCAAUCAGUCUCGACGGCGGCUGUUCGGCCUCUCUUCUGAGUGGUUUAUUCAGUCGCCGCCGGGCCAGCAUCAGUUUUGGCGGUCGGAUAAAGGCGUGGGGAAUGUAGCUCCUCCGGGAGUGUUAUAGCCCCGCGUGCAAUACGGCCCGCCGGGACUGAGGUCCGCGCUUCGGCUAGGAUGCUGGCGAAAUGGUUGUAAGCGGCCCGUCUUGAAACACGGACCAAGGAGUCUAACAUCUACGCGAGUGUUUGGGUGUCAAACCCGUGCGCGCAAUGAAAGUGAACGGAGGUGGGAACCGCAAGGUGCACCAUCGACCGAUCCUGAUGUCUUCGGAUGGAUUUGAGUAAGAGCGUAGCUGUUGGGACCCGAAAGAUGGUGAACUAUGCCUGAAUAGGGUGAAGCCAGAGGAAACUCUGGUGGAGGCUCGCAGCGGUUCUGACGUGCAAAUCGAUCGUCAAAUUUGGGUAUAGGGGCGAAAGACUAAUCGA